GGGCCCAUAGCUCAGUCGGUUAGAGCAUCUGACUCAUAAUCAGGUGGUCGCAGGUUCGAGCCCUGCUGGGCCCACAA
rnacentral:tRNA from 1 species